rnacentral:lncRNA from 1 species
UUCUUUCCUAAUUUCUUAUUUUGAGGAAGAGUUGCCGCUCCUUUCAUACUUGAUUGUUUUCUUUUUCAAUUGACAUCAAAUGAACCUGUUUUUUUUCUUUUUAUUAUCGGUGCAGGUUUUAUGUAAGGAAGCUACCUUUUUGUUAUAUAGCUAGCGAACCCAUGGAUGAUUUCCUUCUUCACUUUCACAAACUGUACGUGUGGGUCUUUUUUUCGCCGGGCCAUCUAUAUCGUAGAAGUUUCAGCCGGGAGGAGUCCUGGGAGAGACAUUUUCCCUUUAUUUUGCUUGUUCAUUUUUAUUUUUAAUCAGGAAAAUAAAGAUUUUACUGAUGGACUUUCAUGGGUAAUAAAAUAGAUAUGUGGUUUUUUUCACUGGCCAUACCUGUUACUAAAAUUAUCUACAUCUUGUCAUGUGGAGCUCAUGUACAAAAUUUUGUGGAUACAAAAGGUAUUAGUAUACGAUAUGUUCUGUACUUAGUUACAUCUUCCUUCUGUCCUCACGGCUGCUCGAAACUUCUGUUCCAAUACUUGAGUAUUGUAUUGCUAUGUAUUCAUGUUGAUGGCUUUACUAAGAAUCAAAAAUAAAUUUUGGGAUAUUGAAACAUAAAACCCAGCCAACCUGUCUCUUCUACUGUCUUUUGAUUUUAGUUCGGCAACCUACUUUAUGCUUAAUUAAUCAUAUGUUGCUAUUUACUAGAGCAGUGUGAGAAUUUACCAUUAUUUUGAGUUUAAUUCUUAUUAUAUGAAUAUGAACCACUUGUCAUGGUAGCACUACUUGAAGUGCACGCCUUGCAAUAACUAGCAUGGUAGCCCAAUGACGCUCUUUUUGUAGGAGAUUCUGUUUUACAAUGUCUUCUCGUCUAAUAUAAUUUUAUGCUUAUGAAAAUGUAAAGCAUGUUUUCGGUGUUUUAUACUUGUAGAGAAGAGGUAAUAUGGAAUUUUGUUUUCUCAAGAUACGAGUGAAAUCAUGGGCUUGAAAACUAGCGACAACUAUUUAAUUCUAGUUCAUAGUUUAUGCUCAUGCUUAGUGGAGUAAUUACGUGAGUUACUAAGUGGCUGAUUUAAGUUGGAUUGAUUUUCUGCGUUCUUUACUUGCCGUGGAUAUUCUUGGUUUCUCGCAUAAGCAUGCUGAUAUGUAUGAUAUGUCCAUUCCUUUUGUUUGUCUCUUCUUUUUUUUUUGAGCUCAAGAUUUUUCAUCUAACUUGUUCUUUGUUUGUUUUUUAAAUGUGCACAUAUUUUCUACUCAAAAGCAGAAUGUUGCUUUGCUUCAUGACAAGUACUAGAGUUCAUGCUCGAGAAGAAGAGGCAAGCCUGAGUUGAUGCGAGAGGAGCUUGUGGAGGCCAAGGAGAAAUACGAGAGUAUCAGUUGUUACUUAAAAGAGUUGGUGCCAUGUUAUGUUACUAUUCUAUAAUUAUAAUAAGUUACUUGUGGACAAUGUGGACAAGGUCCAUUUUAUGAACAUGGUGUAAUGGUACAAAGUAACUAGUUGUUUUUUCUGGUUGGCACAUCUUAUGAACCUAUUGUUUAAUGAUACUGCUGGGCCCAAUAUUAUCCUGGUUACCUGCCAAAUUGUGUUA